UCAGGACGAACGCUGGCGGCGUGCCUAAUACAUGCAAGUCGAACGCUUCUUUUUCCACCGGAGCUUGCUCCACCGGAAAAAGAGGAGUGGCGAACGGGUGAGUAACACGUGGGUAACCUGCCCAUCAGAAGGGGAUAACACUUGGAAACAGGUGCUAAUACCGUAUAACAAUCGAAACCGCAUGGUUUUGAUUUGAAAGGCGCUUUCGGGUGUCGCUGAUGGAUGGACCCGCGGUGCAUUAGCUAGUUGGUGAGGUAACGGCUCACCAAGGCCACGAUGCAUAGCCGACCUGAGAGGGUGAUCGGCCACAUUGGGACUGAGACACGGCCCAAACUCCUACGGGAGGCAGCAGUAGGGAAUCUUCGGCAAUGGACGAAAGUCUGACCGAGCAACGCCGCGUGAGUGAAGAAGGUUUUCGGAUCGUAAAACUCUGUUGUUAGAGAAGAACAAGGAUGAGAGUAACUGUUCAUCCCUUGACGGUAUCUAACCAGAAAGCCACGGCUAACUACGUGCCAGCAGCCGCGGUAAUACGUAGGUGGCAAGCGUUGUCCGGAUUUAUUGGGCGUAAAGCGAGCGCAGGCGGUUUCUUAAGUCUGAUGUGAAAGCCCCCGGCUCAACCGGGGAGGGUCAUUGGAAACUGGGAGACU
rnacentral:rRNA from 1 species